rnacentral:rRNA from 1 species
AUUGAACGCUGGCGGCAGGCCUAACACAUGCAAGUCGAGCGAGCGGCGGACGGGUGAGUAAUGUAUGGGGACUGCCCGAUAGAGGGGGAUAACUACUGGAAACGGUGGCUAAUACCGCAUACAGUCGGAUAACCCAUAUGGGAUUAGCUAGUAGGUAGGGUAAUGGUGUACCUAGGCGACGAUCCCUAGCUGGUCUGAGAGGAUGAUCAGCCACAUGGGGAAUGAUGCACGGCCCAGACUCCGACGGAGGCAGCAGUGGGGAAUAUUGCACAAUGGGCGCAAGCCUGAUGCAGCCAUGCCGCGUGUAUGAAGAAGGCCCUAGGGUUGUAAAGUAUUUGCAGUCGGGAGGCGUUACCGACAGAAGAGGCACCGGCUAACUCCGUGCCAGCAGCCGCGGUAAUAC